GUGCUCACUUUGGCAGCAAAUAUACUAACACUGGAAUGAUACAGAGAAUAUUGCUAUGAUCCUUGGGCACGAAUGACAUGCAAAUUUUUGAAGCAUUCCAUAAAAAU
ensembl:snRNA U6 U6 spliceosomal RNA